UACGGAGGAUGCAAGCGUUAUCCGGAAUGAUUGGGCGUAAAGCGUCCGCAGGUGGCAAUGUAAGUCUGCUGUCAAAGCGUCUGGCUCAACCAGAUACAGGCAGUGGAAACUACAUAGCUAGAGUAAGGUAGGGGUAGAGGGAAUUCCUGGUGUAGCGGUGAAAUGCGUAGAGAUCAGGAAGAACACCGGUGGCGAAGGCGCUCUGCUGGACCUUAACUGACACUGAGGGACGAAAGCUAGGGGAGCGAAUGGG
rnacentral:rRNA from 2 species